GGCCUGCCGUUUAGGACUCUCGGCCCCACGACUAGGACCGUCCCAAACUUCCUGUUUCUUCCGGCCGCUCUGACCCCAGGGCUGCGGCUCCGAGAUAGCUCUGGGCCUGGAAGUGCAUGCUGGUGGAACAAGCCCAAGGGGGCUUUCAGUGUGGUCAAGGACGCGGACUACAAGAAAGAACCAAAGAACAAGGAGAGAGCGUGGACAUCAAGAGUCAGACUGCUGCAAGUAUGGGGUGAAUCUCGCAAGAAAUGCCCCUCUUGUCCCCGUCUCCUGGAGAAACUGCUAUUCAUUGAGCUCUCUGCUAUGGCCUGGGAUAGCAGUAGAAGAUGGCCUAUGUCGUUGGGCCCCUGCACCCAGGUGGGAGACCAGGAAGAAGCUCCUGGCUUUGGAUCGGCGCAGCUUCAGCCAUUGCGGCCAUCUGGGGAGUGGACAAGCGGAUGGAAGACCUCUCUCUCUGUCUCUACCUUUCUCUGUAACU